rnacentral:ncRNA from 1 species
CAGAGUAGGAUACGGCGCGUAAAGUGCCGGAGGAUGGGAAGUUGCCUCCGGACGAAGGGUCACCGCGGUGCCGUUUCCGCAUCCGCUGC